rnacentral:rRNA from 1 species
UUUAAACGCGGGGCUCAAUCUCGUGGCGGAUGGGAAACUGGUCAGCUUGAGUGCAGGAGAGGGAAGCGGAAUUCCACGUGUAGCGGUGAAAUGCGUAGAGAUGUGGAGGAACACCAGUGGCGAAGGCGGCUUUCUGGUCUGUAACUGACGCUGAGGCGCGAAAGCGUGGGGAGCAAACAG